rnacentral:tRNA from 1 species
GGUUGUGGCUCAAUUGUAGAGCACUUGUCUAGCAUAUGUGAGGCACUGGGUUCGAUUCUCAGCAAUGCA